rnacentral:rRNA from 1 species
CCGUAGCCCAAGAGAUCGGGAUAACACCUGGAAACAGAUGCUAAUACCGGAUAACAACAGAUGAUGCCUAUCAACUGUUUAAAAGAUGGUUCUGCUAUCACUCUUGGAUGGACCUGCGGUGCAUUAGCUAGUUGGUAGGGUAACGGCCUACCAAGGCGAUGAUGCAUAGCCGAGUUGAGAUACUGAUCGGCCACAUUGGGACUGAGACACGGCCCAAACUCCUACGGGAGGCAGCAGCU